ensembl:lncRNA
GGGGUUUUGAGCCAGGGUAGGAAAUUUGGAUUUUUCUCCUAAGUUUGGUGGAGAGACAUCGGAGGGCAAUGAAUGGCUGGGAAAAGGGUGGAGAGAAGUGGACGACUUCAUAAUAUGUGUUGGAGCCAAACCCAAUGGAAGCCAGAGGGGAAAGAACCCCAUUGAUGCAGGUGGAUUCUUUACCACUGAGCCAUCGGGGAAGAAGAGGAACAGGAGGUGAUAAAGUGGAGAGUCCACUGUAGAGACAACUCAUUCCAGAAGCAGAGUUUUCAUCGUCAUCACCUCCCAAAGGGGUAAGUACUACCAUCCCCAUUUUACAGAUAAAGAAACUGAAUCUUGGAGAAGGCUGACACUUAGCUCAGGUUCUCAGUGGGAUGGAACCCAG